AGUGAACGCUGGCGGUAGGCCUAACACAUGCAAGUCGAACGGAAGCACAGUAAGAGCUUGCUCUUACGGGUGGCGAGUGGCGGACGGGUGAGGAAUACAUCGGAAUCUACUUUUUCGUGGGGGAUAACGUAGGGAAACUGACGCUAAUACCGCAUACGACCUACGGGUGAAAGCAGGGGAUCUACGGACCUUGCGCGAUUGAAUGAGACGAUGUCGGAUUAGCUAGUUGGCGGGGUAAAGGCACACCAAGGCGACGAUCCGUAGCUGGUCUGAGAGGAUGAUCAGCCACACUGGAACUGAGACACGGUCCAGACUCCUACGGGAGGCAGCAGUGGGGAAUAUUGGACAAUGGGCGCAAGCCUGAUCCAGCCAUACCGCGUGGGUGAAGAAGGCCUUCGGGUUGUAAAGCCCUUUUGUUGGGAAAGAAAAGCAGCAGGUUAAUACCCCGCUGUUCUGACGGUACCCAAAGAAUAAGCACCGGCUAACUUCGUG
rnacentral:rRNA from 1 species